CAGUGGUCUAGUGAGCUGCUAGCUAAAUUGGAAAAUAUCAGUGGAUUGUCUGUCCUUUACUUUGAAAACCUUAAAUAAAUUGGAGAAAGAGAAGCAGAAGUAGGACUCCAGAAAGAGUUGAGCAAUAUGACAGUGUUUUUGAACCUGGGAAACCCAAGAGCCAAGUGCCAACAAGGUUCUAAAACUGAGAAACACAAGUCAGUCUGUCACAUGGACCAGACUAGUUUCUUCAGUAAAACAGGAUGCAGACUCUAAUAAACAGAUAUAGAUCGCCUAUUUGAGAAUAAUUAACAUAAGGUCAUAAUGGAUUACUACUUUGUUCAUCAUAUUUUUUAUUAAGGAUUAGUUCUGAAGGAACUGGAGAAAUUUUCUUGUGGAUUGAUGCUACUGUGACUUUGGUGCAAUGUUUGACAUAUGACCAAUCCAUCAAGAGUGAAAUGAUGUUAAAAUUCUUACUACUUUUUAUUGUCUUUUGGAUAUAUCAGAGUGAUGUGCAUAAGAGUAAUAUAUUUAAAUUUCCCAAUAUGAUAGCAAAAUUAUUCAUUUUCAUUUUUUCUUAUAGUUUUGUCCAUUUUUGAAAUUUCAUUUUGGGUAUGUACUUGUUUAGAAUUGCCUUUACUUCCUGCUGAAUUUAAUCUGAUACUAAUAUAGCUAUAACAGUUUUCUUAUAGUUAAUAUUGAACAAAUAUAUCAU